rnacentral:rRNA from 1 species
UACGUAGGGACCAAGCGUUGUUCGGAUUUACUGGGCGUAAAGGGCGCGUAGGCGGCAAUUCAAGUCAUCUGUGAAAUCUCCGAGCUUAACUCGGAACGGUCAGAUGAUACUGCUUUGCUAGAGUGCAGAAGGGGCAACCGGAAUUCUUGGUGUAGCGGUGAAAUGCGUAGAUAUCAAGAGGAACACCGGUGGCGAAGGCGGUUCUUUGGGCCUUACCUGACGCUGAGGAGCGAAAGCGUGGGGAGCGAACAGG